UCUCUGUCCACAAGCAGUAUGUCUUCUGCAGCAGAUAGUUGGAUCCAGGGGAUUACUCCAGCUGGUGAAUUUCUUGCCUUUCUCUCGUGUGUCUCUUUCUUUCUCUCCCUCUCUCUCUGUCUCGCUUCUCUAUUGUGUUGGCCAACACUCUUUCUCUCCUUGCCUCCCUUCAUGGUACAUGGGCAGGAGUGCUAGGUGUGCUUCCCCACGGACUAGGUCUUGGCAGAUACGUGCAAGUAGGAGGGGACGAAAAUCGUUCCGGGCAGUGGGUGCUAGUGUAGAGUGGAGACUGUCAAUGUUUAUUCAGUCACUGUUCGAGUGGGGCUGAUGUAGAUGGGAUGGGAGAGAGAGACAAGGAUGAGGCCAAGAUUCCAAGCACCAAUAGGGCUGUGUGUGAUCACAGCUCAUGCUUGGCUUUUGCAGCUGCUUGUGCAGAGGAAUUGUCCAGGAGCCCUCGCUGGAGGAGGAAGAGGCUGAUGUGGACCUGAACAACUUGGACAUCCUUCUAAGGAGACAUGAACAGUCCUCAGCUUCCUGCCUCCACUUAACUGGCUGUGAGUAAGAGUACCAAGGGAAAAUAAGUCACGCGCCAGAAUCUGCUGCCCUCAUGCGAUGGAAAACAAUGAGACCGUGAGUAUUAUCAAUGCCACGCAAAAGCCGUCCAACUGGGAGCGGAACAGCUGCCACUCUCAAUGAGAUAAGUGUCUGUUUUGGUGAUUGCUCUGCUCCCAGCCCUCCCUGCUCCUGGUAGGGACACCACAUUAGCUGGGGCUGGGUUUGUAAGAAAAUGUUUUUGACUAGUUGUAGUUAUGAAGGACACACAGUCCCCAUUUUCAGGGGCUGCUCAGUUCUCUGGCCACGAGCGGCGAGUUCUCUGCAGCAGAAGGUUGGAUCCAGGAGGAUGACUGCAGGUGGGGAGUUGCUUGCCUUCCACCCGUGUUUUUCACUCUGUCUCUCUCUGUUCUCUAGUGUGUUGGCCAACAUAGACCCUCUGUCUGUCUCUCUCUCACCUUUCCUUGUGCCAUCAGCCUUCAGAGGACAUGGGUGGGGUGCUCAGUGUGCAUCACCACAGGCUAGGUCUUGGGAGCCAUGGAGAAGGAAGAGCAGAGAAAAAUCAUGAGGGGCAGUGGGUGCUGAAGUGGAGCAGUGACUGUUUACUCAUCUCUGUUCAUUGAGUUGGCCUCAGGUGGAUGGCAUGGGAGAGGAAGGAAGGGAUGAGGGCAAGAUUUCAUGCAUGAAUGGAACUUGUACUGAUGGCUCAUGCAUGGGUUUUGCAGGUGCACUUGCAGAAGAAGUGUCCAGGAGCCCCAGGCCAGGGAGAAGCUGGCAGAAGUGGACCUGAUCAGCCUGAGCAUCCUUCUAAGAAAACAUGAACAGUCCUCUCCUUUCUGAAUCCCGCUUAACUUGCUGUGGUACCAGAGGAAAAGAAAUCCUGCAUGAGAGUCUACUGCUGUCAUGCAAUGGAAAUCAAGUGAGAGUGAUGGGACUGCAGGAAAUUAUUGCUGCCAUGAAAAAGCCAUUCAACUGGGAGUGAAACAACCGCCACUUUCAGUGAGAUAAGUGUCUGCUUUGGUGAUUGCUCUGUUUUUGAGUAGCUGUAGUUAUGAGGGAGACAAGCUCCCCAUUUUCAGGGACUGCUCAGUUCUCUGGCCAGUAGCAGUGUGUCCUCUGCAGCAGAUGGUUGGAUCCAGGAGGAUGACUGCAGGUGGUGAGUUGCUUGCCUUCCACCCAUGUUUUUUACUCUGUCUCUCUCUGUUCUCUAGUAAGUUGGCCAACACACACCCUCUCUCUAUCCUUACCUUUCCUCCUGCCAUCUCCCUUCUUAGGACACAGGCAGGGCUGCUAGGCGUGCAUCCCCACAGGUUAGGUCCUGGGAGCCCUGGAGGAGUAGGAGGGGAAGGGGCAGUGGGUGCUAAAGUGGAGCAGUGACUGUUGGUGUUAACUCGUUCUGUGUUCGAGUGGCGCCGGUGUAGAUGGGAUGGAAGAGGGAGGCAGGAUUGAGGGCAGGAUUUC